rnacentral:rRNA from 1 species
CCUACGGUGUGCAGCAGUGAGGAAUAUUGGUCAAUGGGCGGAAGCCUGAACCAGCCAAGUAGCGUGCAGGAUGACGGCCCUACGGGUUGUAAACUGCUUUUAUACGGGAAUAACGCGCCUUACGUGUAGGGCUUUGCAUGUAACGUAUGAAUAAGGAACGGCUAAUUCCGUAACAGCAGCCGCGGGAAAACGGAAGGUACGGGCGUUACCCGGAUUUAUUGGGUUUAAAGGGAGCGUAGGCCGCAUGUCAAGCGUGCUGUGAAAUGUCCGGGCUCAACCCGGGCCUUGCAGCGCGAACUGGCGUGCUUGAGUCCGCGGAAAGCAGGCGGAAUUCGUCGUGUAGCGGUGAAAUGCUUAGAUAUGACGAAGAACCCCGAUUGCGAAGGCAGCUUGCUGCAGCGGAACUGACGCUGAUGCUCGAAAGCGCGGGUAUCGAACAGGAUUAGAUACCCUUGUAGUC